rnacentral:rRNA from 1 species
UACGAAGGUCCCGAGCGUUAUCCGGAUUUAUUGGGUUUAAAGGGUGCGUAGGCGGGUUAUUAAGUCAGUGGUGAAAGCCUUCAGCUCAACUGAAGAAUUGCCAUUGAUACUGAUGAUCUUGAGUAUGAUUGAGGUGGGCGGAAUGUGUCAUGUAGCGGUGAAAAUGCUUUAGAUAUGACACAGAAACACCGAUUGCGAAGGCAGCUCACUAAGCCCAUAACUGACGCUGAUGCACGAAAAGCGUGGGGGGAGCAAAACAAGGG